rnacentral:rRNA from 1 species
UACAGAGGGUGCGAGCGUUAAUCGGAAUUACUGGGCGUAAAGCGUGCGUAGACGGUAGCGUAAGUCAGAUGUGAAAGCCCCGGGCUCAACCUGGGAAUUGCAUUUGAGACUGCUCUGCUCGGGUGCGGAAGAGGGAAGCGGAAUUUCCGGGGUAGCGGUGAAAUGCGUAGAUAUCGGAAGGAACACCAGUGGCGAAAGCGGCUUCCUGGUCCGACACCGACGUUCAGGCACGAAAGCGUGGGGAGCAAACAGG